rnacentral:rRNA from 1 species
AGCGGCGGACGGGUGAGUAACGCGUGGGUAACCUGCCUCAUACAGGGGGAUAACACAGGGAAACUUGUGCUAAUACCGCAUAACAUCACGGGGAGGCAUCUUCCUGUGAUCAAAGGAGAAAUCCGGUGCAAGAUGGGCCCGCGUCCGAUUAGCUAGUUGGCGGUGUAACGGACCACCAAGGCGACGAUCGGUAGCCGAACUGAGAGGUUGAUCGGCCACAUUGGGACUGAGACACGGCCCAGACUCCUACGGGAGGCAGCAGUGGGGAAUAUUGCGCAAUGGGGGAAACCCUGACGCAGCAACGCCGCGUGAAGGAAGAAGGCCUUCGGGUUGUAAACUUCUUUGAUUGGGGACGAAGAAAGUGACUGUACCCAAAAAACAAGCCACGGCUAACUACGUGCCAGCAGCCGCGGUAAUACGUAGGUGGCAAGCGUUGUCCGGAAUUACUGGGUGUAAAGGGCGUGUAGGCGGGGAUGCAAGUCAGAUGUGAAAUUCCGGGGCUUAACCCCGGCGCUGCAUCUGAAACUGUAUCUCUUGAGUGCUGGAGAGGAAAGCGGAAUU